rnacentral:rRNA from 1 species
UUGAACGCUGGCGGCAGGCCUAACACAUGCAAGUCGAGCGCGAAAGGUUUUCGGACUGAGUAAAGCGGCGGACGGGUGAGUAACGCGUGGGAAUCUGCCCAGUAGUGGGGGACAACAGUCGGGAACGACUGCUAAUACCGCAUACGCCCUACGGGGGAAAGGGGGGGAUCUUCGGACCUCUCGCUAUUGGAUGAGCCCGCGUCGGAUUAGCUAGUUGGUAGGGUAAAGGCCUACCAAGGCUACGAUCCGUAACUGGUCUGAGAGGAUGAUCAGUCACACUGGAACUGAGCAACGGUCCAGACUCCUACGGGAGGCAUCAGUGGGGAAUAUUGGACAAUGGGGGCAACCCUGAUCCAGCCAUGCCGCGUGUGUGAAGAAGGCCUUAGGGUUGUAAAGCACUUUCAGUGGGGAGAAAGGCUGUUUACUUAAUACGUAAAUAAAUUGAUGUUACCCACAGAAGAAGCACCGGCUAACUCCGUGCCAGCCGCCGCCGUAA